CCACUCCUGACAAGCCCGUCAUUAGCAGGAAGGUUUGUUCAUGCAGGUACCCAGUUUGCUGGCUUACCACGUAGGCCAAAUUAUCGAGAAGAUCAAAAUCGGACGUCUCCCUUUUCUCGAGCCUGAUAACUCGCACAGAAAGGUUUGCUCAGUACGUACUACGAACGUAGUAGUACGUAGUAUGUUUACAACGCCAUAUUAUUCGUCCCGCAUCUCGUCAUCUCCAGGCCAAGUCAUCGCGGCCCUGGAAUCACCUUGCACCCAGCAGCAGCUUUACAUACUGCGAGUACUCCGUACAUACUGCCUAACUAGGUGGGUCAUUAGCAGUACUAUCAUCUAUCUAUGUUGAUAACUUGAUCGUAACUUUGCUGCGCCAAUUCUCCGCCGUUGUGUUACAUGUGCCUUCUACGAAGUACGUAGUACAUGAUUAGUUGCAGACCAGAUGAGCACAACUGUGUUACAUCCAUCCAUCAUGGAGCCGUGGGUUGGUAGCUGAGCUGAAGCCAUAACCCUCUGUUUUUCUUUUUGAUUCCAGGAUGUUAUGGAAUAUCCCCAAAUCUCGAUUAUCAUUAAUCGCCUCUCCUUGCACUCAGAAUAUGUAGUAAAAUAUAAAACUCCGUCGGUCUCAAUCCAGCUUAAUCUAGGAUGUUAACGCUUUACGUACUUGACUUGCCUAGAUUGUCAUCUGGCAGUACUAGUGUGUGGCUAGUUCAUACUAAUUCACUAAAUGCAAGAUGGUAGAGCAAAUCAGGGAAAUAAAUGGCCCUUCUGCAACCCUUUACUCCGUUGUUAUUUUCUUCUUGUCAGCUUGGCUAAACUCCACCCUUCUUCCACUGGUGGUGUAUGGAAUAUAAUGUAUCACAUCAGGUACCCUGCCAUGAGCCACAGUGUUUCUUUUUCUUUGCGAUUUUCAGUUGAAUCGGGGACUGGAAAUAGAACAGCUCGUGGACGUAGUAGGUCGGUCAAUCGCAACAUACGUAGUAAAGGUCGGGUCAAGAAUAUAUACGUACAUACAAGCCUGAAUCCUGACGCAUAACUAUUGGUCCCGAUGUUACAUACCUAGUGCCAGCCAGCCAUCUAAAAACCGGAGUAUCGCUAGAACAAAUUUGAUGAAUGGCAACCAACUUGCAACAACCCUAAGGCGGCCCCCUGCUUACUGACCUGACAAUCAGGGUCCGUCACUCGAUAAAUGUACGUAUUUUAUUUCAGCCAUACAGAUGCGAUAAACGAACACGAACUUCUUCUGAGAGGGGAUAGGCUAACUAAUCGCUUGAUUGGGCCAUUCCAUCUGUCAUCUGCACAUGGCCAAGAUGAGUCAGUGGAAAUCUUAGCGAUCAAUGCACUUGGAUUGAGUCGGGCAUAUGAAGAUUACUACACUCUGUGAUUAGACUUUCGAUUGUACGAAGUAGAUUGUACCUAGAUAUGUACAGUCAUUCGUAAAUCUCGUGAAGGUCGGAAAACCUUCAGGUGACCGGGUCUUUGGCCCGAUUCUCCCCUCUUCAUCCACAAAGACUGAGCACACAAGUUAUCUUCUGAGGAGGCGCACGAAAUGCUACUAAGAUCUAAACUCAUAAAGCCAUUUAAGAAGGUUUAUAGAGUAAAAUACUCCCCAUUCUUUGCUGAACGCCGUCAACCGCGCAACAGGGUUAGGAUUGUUGAUAUUGCAUGUCUCGGCUUGUUGGACAGCCCUGACUAGUCAUGUAUAUGCAAACUCGCCUUUAAACCUUCAUGGCCAUCGAUGUAGCUUACAAGCAGGAUCAAAGCAGAUGAGAUACGCUUGAGUACCUGGUAGUCGGAGGAUAUCUUCCCUUCCGCAAGAUUAUC
rnacentral:lncRNA from 1 species